rnacentral:rRNA from 1 species
UACGAAGGGGGCUAGCGUUGUUCGGAAUCACUGGGCGUAAAGGGCGCGUAGGCGGCUUUAUAAGUCGGGGGUGAAAGCCUGUGGCUCAACCACAGAAUUGCCUUUGAUACUGUUUGGCUAGAGACCGGAAGAGGUAAGUGGAACUGCGAGUGUAGAGGUGAAAUUCGUAGAUAUUCGCAAGAACACCAGUGGCGAAGGCGGCUUACUGGUCCGGUUCUGACGCUGAGGCGCGAAAGCGUGGGGAGCAAACAGG